AAUGUAAGUCUCCGUUGGUGAACCAGCGGAGGGAUCAUUGCUGGAACGCGCCCCAGGGCGCACCCAGAAACCCUUUGUGAACUUAUACCUUACUGUUGCCUCGGCGCUAGCUGGUCCUUCGGGGCCCCUCACCCCCGGGUGUUGAGACAGCCCGCCGGCGGCCAACCCAACUCUUGUUUUUACACUGAAACUCUGAGAAUAAAACAUAAAUGAAUCAAAACUUUCAACAACGGAUCUCUUGGUUCUGGCAUCGAUGAAGAACGCAGCGAAAUGCGAUAAGUAAUGUGAAUUGCAGAAUUCAGUGAAUCAUCGAAUCUUUGAACGCACAUUGCGCCCUCUGGUAUUCCGGAGGGCAUGCCUGUUCGAGCGUCAUUUCAACCCUCAAGCCUGGCUUGGUGAUGGGGCACUGCUUCUUACCCAAGGAGCAGGCCCUGAAAUUCAGUGGCGAGCUCGCCAGGACCCCGAGCGCAGUAGUUAAACCCUCGCUCUGGAAGGCCCUGGCGGUGCCCUGCCGUUAAACCCCCAACUUCUGAAAAUUUGACCUCGGAUCAGGUAGGAAUACCCGCUGAACUUAAGCAUUCAAGGG
rnacentral:rRNA from 1 species